AUUGAACGCUGGCGGCAGGCCUAACACAUGCAAGUCGAACGAGUGGCGGACGGGUGAGCAAUGUCUGGGAAACUGCCUGAUGGAGGGGGAUAACGACUGGAAACGGUAGCUAAUACCGCAUACCAUCGGAUGUGCCCAGAUGGGAUUAGCUAGUAGGUGGGGUAAAGGCGCACCUAGGCGACGAUCCCUAGCUGGUCUGAGAGGAUGACCCGCCACACUGGAACUGAGACACGGUCCAGACUCCUACGGGAGGCAGCAGUGGGGAAUAUUGGCCAAUGGGCGAAAGCCUGAUGCAGCCAUGCCGCGUGUAUGAAGAAGGCUUUCGGGUUGUAAAGUACUUUCAGCGGGGAGGCGUUACCUGCAGAAGAAGCACCGGCUAACUCCGUGCCAGCAGCCGCGGUAAUAC
rnacentral:rRNA from 1 species